rnacentral:rRNA from 1 species
CCUACGGGAGGCAGCAGUGAGGAAUAUUGGUCAAUGGACGGAAGUCUGAACCAGCCAUGCCGCGUGCAGGAAGACGGCUCUAUGAGUUGUAGACUGCUUUUGUACAAGGGUAAACCUGAAUACGUGUAUUCAGCUGAAGGUACUGUACGAAUAAGGAUCGGCUAACUCCGUGCCAGCAGCCGCGGUAAUACGGAGGAUCCAAGCGUUAUCCGGAUUUCUUGGGUUUAAAGGGUGCGUAGGCGGGUGGAUAAGUUAGAGGUGAAAUGUCCGAGCUUAACUCGGGACGUGCCUCUGAUACUGGUGAUCUAGAGAGUAGAUGCGGUAGGCGGAAUGUAUGGUGUAGCGGUGAAAUGCUUAGAGAUCAUACAGAACACCGAUUGCGAAGGCAGCGUACCAAUCUAUAUCUGACGUUGAGGCACGAAAGCGCGGGGAGCAAACAGGAUUAGAUACCCCUGUAGUC